CUGAUAAGGUCUGUUAGGUUAGAUAUAAUUGCUAUUUUAUUUUAAAUCACAGCAAAGUUAUUUGUGUUCACCCUUGGGUUUAUUUAGAAAAUACAAGGUUACAAAGGGCUUCCAAAGAUCAUUAUUAGCAGUAAGAAGAUUACCGAGGAAAGGAAAAGUGGUAAGGAAGUGGGAAGAAAACCGAAGACUGAUGACUGAAUAAGAUCUUACAUAUUUGCAUAGCUCAGAAAUUUGAAUACUAUAUCCAGGAGUCUAUUUUUUUUUCAACUUGUAAAAAAUGGUAGUAAAAUACAAAAAACAUAAAAUGUUCUAUCUUAACCAUUUUUAGGAGCACAGUUCAGUGUUAUUAAAUAUAUUCACAAUGUUGUGCAACCAUUACCACCAUCCAUCUCCAUAACUCUGUUCAUCUUAUAAAACUGAAACUAUGGCCGUUUUAAGUCCCCAUUGCCCUUCUUCCCAGUAACCACUAUUCUAUUUUGUCUCCAUGAUUUUGGUUACUCUAUAUACUUCAUGUCAGUGGAAUUACACAGUAUUUAUAUUUUUGUGGCUGGGUUAUUUCACUUAGCAUAAGUCCUUAGGAUUCAUGUAAUGUGUAGUAUAUAUCAGAAUUUCCUUCCUUUUUAAGGCUAAAUAAUAAUCCAGUGAAUGGAAAUAGCACAUUAUGCUAAAGUAUUCACUGCUGAUGGACAUUUAGGUUGCUACAUUUUAGCUACUAUGAAUUAUCAUUCAGCCAAGCACUGUGGCUCAUGCUUGCAGUCCCAGCUAUGCAAGAGGUUAAAGCAGGAAGAUCGCUUGAGUCCAGGAUUUCAAGGCCAGCUUGGGCAACACAGUGAGACCUCAUCUCUUAAAACUGUAAUAGGCCCACUUGCUCCCUCCUGCCAUCUGGCUGACAUGAAGAACUGGAGGUGGCAGCAGUGGUAGCCUGCAUCUGAGGCUCAUGGGCUGCAAGCCCCUGCUCGUGCACCAUGGAUGAUUUUGCCAAAGAAAGUUUCACUGUAGUGGAUUAUGUCUUGUUAGAAAAUUGCCCUAAUAUGGGUGACUAUGUCGUUGCUCCUCAAUUUAUGACCGACAAUUAUGUUCGUGUGACUCAGCUUAACUGGGAUGGGGUGGGUACGCAAUAAAAAGAUUACAUCUAAGUGAGAGAAAUUUAGCAAUUCUUGUGGUUCUGAGAUAAGUUUGAAGAAAUCACAACAUCUUGAGUUGAUAGAAGAUAUUGUGGAUUUGGCAAAGAAAGUUGCUGUAAGUGGUAGAAAAA
rnacentral:lncRNA from 10 species